ACAAGGAACUCAGAUCCUAUUAUGGGAGAGGAGGUAACUCAGUCGAGCCUUUCAAGAUAAACUCAGACAGGAAGAGAGACAUGAUUGCCUGGAGGCACCAGUUAGACAUUUCUGGCUGCAGCAAAGGAACCAACUGGCAGGCUGAGACCCACAGCACUGUUUGACAGCAGGUGUGGGAUGAAGUCCCACUCCUAAGCCCUCCAGCAGCUCUGUGAAAGAGGCGUCUUCCUCUGUAAGCAACCAACGGGUUAAAGCUUGCAAGGAAAGCCAACUGAGUGAUUUGGUGAAAGAAAGAUUAAAACAUCUCCGUGGAAGGUGAGGAGCCAGCCCCAGCCUGCGCUGUCCCAUUUACCCACUAAUCGGCCCAAUUAUCUCAGGUAUAAAUCAUAACACAAAACACUUACAGAGCCAGAGUCACACACUGAAGAAAGGAGAGAACUGUUGGGUUGGUUUUUGUUUAGUAUAAUUGAUAUAAUUACGAACAACUCCGUGCCAAGAACUUCAGCUUUUCUGCUUCCAGAAGAGAGUAGAGAGCUGUCUGAAAGCCAUAGCAAUUAGCAAUCCCCACAUGCACAGCUUUUAUUAGAAAGAAUGCACCUCUAUUCCAGAAAGAGCCAGCAGGUCCCUGAGGAGCAAUUAAACAUCCCAGAGACCUUUUGGUGCCAGGAAUGCAGCUGUCACUGAAUCCAUGUUCCCUGUCCCCUCGUCAAUGCUGCAAAGGCACUUCAGGAGUCCUGCCCAUUAUGCUGCCUAUGAAAUGCCUUCACUUGUAACUUCCUUGUUCCUAAUUUUAACUUCCCUGGCUCCAGGUAGGUGCAUCUUGCUGUGCUGAGGUCCAAGCAGGCUGCUGUUUCUGAGAAGGCUCAGGCCCAGUACAUCACUACCAGCAGAAAGUCUCCCUGUCACUCUGCUGAGGAAUCUGUCUGGGCUCUGAUCUCCACACUCUGAAGCAGAUUAAGACAGUAAUUAUGUGGCUGAAGCUCCCCAACACCUCCUGAGCAUGCGACCCCAGAGAGUGUCUUAUGGCCAGUGGCCAGAUAUUCACAACUCACCACGUUGCCACUAGGCAGCUCCUGCAGAGCUGAGGGGCAGGAGAGCUGGGGUUCAUCUGAGUCUUGCAGAGGUGACCUCUCACUGCCAGCAAGGUGUGGAGAUGUG